rnacentral:rRNA from 1 species
AUUGAACGCUGGCGGCAUGCUUUACACAUGCAAGUCGAACGGUAACAGGCCUUCGUUUGCUGACGAGUGGCGAACGGGUGAGUAAGGCAUCCGAACGUGCCCAGAGGUUGGGGAUAACGCAGCGAAAGCUGUGCUAAUACCGCAUGUGAUCUGAGGAUGAAAGCGGGGGACCGAGCAGCAAAGUUUCGCCUCUCGCCUCUGGAGCGGCCGAUGUCAGAUUAGGUAGUUGGUGGGGUAAAGGCCUACCAAGCCGACGAUCUGUAGCUGGUCUGAGAGGACGAUCGGCCACACUGGGACUGAGACACGGACCAGACUCCUACGGGAGGCAGCAGUGGGGAAUGUUGGACAAAGGGCGGAAGCCUGAUCCAGCAAUGCCGCGCGAGGGAAGAAGGCCUUCGGGUUGUAAACCGCUUUUGUAAGGAACGAAAAGGCUUUGGCUAAUACCUGGGGCUGAUGACGGUACCAUAAGAAUAAGCACCGGCUAACUACGUG